ACGGAAGGCAGCAGUAGGGAAUCUUCCUCAAUGGACGCAAGUCUGAUGGAGCAACGCCGCGUGAAUGAAGAAGGCCUUCGGGUCGUAAAAUUCUGUUGUUAGAGAAGAACAUGCAGGAGAGUAACUGUUCUUGUAUUGACGGUAUCUAACCAGAAAGCCACGGCUAACUACGUGCCAGCAGCCGCGGUAAUACGAAGGGGGCAAGCGUUGUCCGGAUUUAUUGGGCGUAAAGGGAACGCAGGCGGUUUUUUAAGUCUGAGGUGAAAGCAUUCGGCUCAACCGAAGAAUUGCAUUGGAAACGGGAAGACUUGAGGGCAGAAGAGGAGAGUGGAACUCCAGGUGUAGCGGUGGAAUGCGUAGAUAUAUGGAAGAACACCAGUGGCGAAGGCGGCUCUCUGGUCUGUAAUUGACGCUGAGGUUAGAAAGCGUGGGUAGCAAACAGGAUUAGAUACCCUGUA
rnacentral:rRNA from 1 species